CCAGUAACGGCGAGUGAAAAGGGAAAAGUCCAUCGCUAAAUCGUUUUGCCUCAGGCAUUAUGAGGUGUAGCGUAUAAGUCGUAAACUUUGAUCUUUUGUCUCAAACAAGUCCCCUUGACAGAGGUUCCACAGAAGGUGCAAGUCCUGUACGUUGAGAUAAUUGAUCGAUAUUUGCGUGCUUUAGAGUCGGGUUGUUUGGGAUCGCAGCCCAAAGUCGGUGGUAAACUUCAUCUAAGACUUAAUAUUGCCACGAGACCGAUAGCAAACAAGUACUGUGAAGGAAAGUUGCAAAGCACUUUGAAGAGAGAGUUAAAGAGGACGUGAAACCGGUAAGGUGGAAACGGAUAGAGUCGGCGUAUCAUUCAAUUAUUCAGUUACAUUAUUUUUAUGUUGUGACCUCUGAGCUCCAGAUUGGGACAGAGGGAAUCAGCAUAAUUUUUUGUGGUGCAUUUACUUGAUUGGUGCUUGGGGAUGUUUGAGGCAGAUUUGUUUCCGUCGUUUUGAGGCCAGCUUGCUGGUACCCAAACGGUGUUAGCAUUUUUUGUCUUGGGCAUUUGAGUAUGGCUCACGUGUAUUUAUUGGACAGAUCUGAGUGUAAGUUACGGUCGCAUGCGACACGUGCUUUUCAAUUAGUUCGGUCCAGUUAAUGCUCUCGUACUCGUUCCCCAUGUAAAAGCCGGUCAUCUAUCCGACCCGUCUUGAAACACGGACCAAGGAGUUUAUCGUGUGCGCAAGUUUUUGGGUGUUAAAAACYUAAAAGCGAAAUGAAAGUAAAUGRCUCUUUAGAGUCUGAUGUGCGAUCUWGUAAAAAAGUGYAGCAUGGCCCCAUUCUAACUGUUUACAGUAGGGUGGCGGAAGAGCGUACGCGGUGAGACCCGAAAGAUGGUGAACUAUUCCUGAGCAGGACGAAGCCAGAGGAAACUCUGGUGGAAGUCCGA
rnacentral:rRNA from 1 species